AGUGAACGCUGGCGGUAGGCCUAACACAUGCAAGUCGAACGGCAGCACAGUAAGAGCUUGCUCUUACGGGUGGCGAGUGGCGGACGGGUGAGGAAUACAUCGGAAUCUACUUUUUCGUGGGGGAUAACGUAGGGAAACUUACGCUAAUACCGCAUACGACCUACGGGUGAAAGCAGGGGAUCUUCGGACCUUGCGCGAUUGAAUGAGCCGAUGUCGGAUUAGCUAGUUGGCGGGGUAAAGGCCCACCAAGGCGACGAUCCGUAGCUGGUCUGAGAGGAUGAUCAGCCACACUGGAACUGAGACACGGUCCAGACUCCUACGGGAGGCAGCAGUGGGGAAUAUUGGACAAUGGGCGCAAGCCUGAUCCAGCCAUACCGCGUGGGUGAAGAAGGCCUUCGGGUUGUAAAGCCCUUUUGUUGGGAAAGAAAAGCGGCAGGUUAAUACCCCGCUGUUCUGACGUUACCCAAAGAAUAAGCACCGGCUAACUUCGUG
rnacentral:rRNA from 1 species